UUGUUUAAUUACUCCUUUUCCCGUUUCUUCCUCUAUUUUUACUAUUUAAGUCUUUAUUUAUUAGUUAUAUAAUAUUAUAUUAAUUUGUUGGUAUUUGUAUUAAUAAUUUUAUUGAUUCCUGUAUCCUUUAAAUAUUUAGAGAAGUAUUUAUUUAAUUUGGAAAAAUAUUUCACACGAUUGAAAUAGUAUUUUAGGAUAAUCAGCACGAUUCAAGUAUAAUUAAUAUAUAUCUAUAUACUAUUAUAUUUUUGUAUUGCUAAUAUUAUCAAAAUAAUAUUUUGUUAUCAGUUGUAUAGUAGUUUAUUUUAUUUUUAUUUCCCAACAAUCUAAGAAAUUAUGACAUAUAAUUUUGAUACUAAGAUUGUUGAUAAUACUGAUGUUAGUGUUGCUUUGGCUGCUUUCAUUCCAGUCAAUUUAUCAGAAGGUUAUGCUAUUGCAGAAUAUAGAUAUUGUGAUGCAAAUUGAAUCUCUAAUUCAGAUGAGACUAAAUCCACUAGUGGUUAUGUGUUUACGCUUGGUGGUGGUGCAGUAUCAUGGAGAUCAGCUAAGCAGACGAUCAUUGCUAGAUCAAUUAGGGAAUCAGAGUUUGUGGCUUUGGAGUUACCUGGUACUGAGGCUAAAUGGCUAAGAAAUUUCUUAGCAAAUAUCUCUUUUAAAAAGGAUGAUAUGUUGCCUCAUAGCCUUUUAAAUGAGGAUGAUUUGUUGUCUAAUAUCCCUUUGAAAAAGGCUGAUUUGUUGUCUAAAAUCCCUUUGAAAAGGAAUGAUCUGAUGCUUUCUAUGAUUGUCAAGCUGCAAUUGUUAUUGCAAAGAGUAAAUCUUAUAGUUGUAUGAGUAGACAUAUGAAAUUAAGGCAUGAUAUUGUUAAGCAGCUGCUGAGAGAUGAAAUAAUUUCCAUUGAUUUUGUAAAGUCAGAAUUGAAUUUGGCCGAUUCUCUAACCAAACCUAUGGGAAGAAAAUUAAUUCUUCAAACCUCAAAAGAGAUGGGGUUAAGGCCAAUAUGAUUGUCAAUAGAGAUGGUAACCCAACCUAUGUGAUUGGAUACCCCAUUAAGUAGGUUCAUAUGAGUAUAACAAGUCGAUAUUGACUUUGCACACUUAUUGAGAGUGUUUGAACAGCUACUAAAAUGAAGGGAUGAGUUAUUAACUCUUAAUGAAUGCCUAAUUAUUAUGGAUGGUGUAUUUAAGGCAGUGUACACUUGAUGAAUUCACCUAUAUGAGAAGUGGAAUGAGACCGUUCCUAUGAGACUUUUGGCCUUGGUCUCUAGAUCUCUCAUGAAUACCAGACGUGUGCAUGGCCUAUGGCGCAAAACCGCGUUGAACAACAAAAUUACAGUCAAAAUAUAAUUGAUAAAAUUUUUGGCUUACAACAAGAAUUAUUCGAUUCAUACAAAUAUUGUAUUUCACCGGUAAUUUUGUAAGUUAAAUUUUAUUAGUCUAUGUUUGGUUCAUAGUCCAGAAGACACCAAACCUACUGCAUUUUGUUCAUACAAAUCCAACAAGUUAAUAUGUGUUAACACCUAA